UGAUGGUCAUUGCUCCUCUCCUCCAGGUGACUGAUGGUCAUUGCUCCUCUCCUCCAGGUGGAGGUGGUGUUGGACACACAAACCCAGCUGGUUUGUGAAGGUUUCCAUGUGACUAAAGAGAUGUAAAUGAAUCAGUUGUAAGAUGUAA